UACGUAGGGGGCUAGCGUUGUCCGGAAUCAUUGGGCGUAAAGCGCGUGUAGGCGGUCCGGUAAGUCCGCUGUGAAAGUCGGGGGCUCAACCCUCGAAUGCCGGUGGAUACUGUCGGGCUAGAGUACGGAAGAGGCGAGUGGAAUUCCUGGUGUAGCGGUGAAAUGCGCAGAUAUCAGGAGGAACACCAAUUGCGAAGGCAGCUCGCUGGGACGUUACUGACGCUGAGACGCGAAAGCGUGGGGAGCAAACAGG
rnacentral:rRNA from 1 species